UACAGAGACUGCAAGCGUUAUUCGGAUUCACUGGGCUUAAAGGGCGCGUAGGCGGCUUGCCAAGUCAGUGGUGAAAUCCUGCAGCUUAACUGCAGAAGUGCCUUUGAUACUGGCGAGCUCGAGGGAGGUAGGGGUAUGUGGAACUUCUGGUGGAGCGGUGAAAUGCGUUGAUAUCAGAAGGAACGCCGGUGGCGAAAGCGACGUACUGGACCUCUUCUGACGCUGAGGCGCGAAAGCUAGGGGAGCAAACGGG
rnacentral:rRNA from 1 species